UACAGAGGUGGCAAGCGUUGUUCGGAAUUACUGGGCGUAAAGGGCGAGUAGGCGGCCAUCUAAGUCAGACGUGAAAUCCCCCGGCUUAACCUGGGAACUGCGUCUGAUACUGGACGGCUAGAGUAUGGGAGAGGGAUGUAGAAUUCCAGGUGUAGCGGUGAAAUGCGUAGAUAUCUGGAGGAAUACCGGUGGCGAAGGCGGCAUCCUGGACCGGCAUUGACGCUGAGGAGCGAAAGCCAGGGGAGCAAACGGG
rnacentral:rRNA from 1 species